AUUGAACGCUGGCGGCAGGCUUAACACAUGCAAGUCGAGCGGGGGAAGGUAGCUUGCUACCGGACCUAGCGGCGGACGGGUGAGUAAUGCUUAGGAAUCUGCCUAUUAGCGGGGGACAACAUCUCGAAAGGGAUGCUAAUACCGCAUACGUCCUACGGGAGAAAGCAGGGGAUCUUCGGACCUUGCGCUAAUAGAUGAGCCUAAGUCGGAUUAGCUAGUUGGUGGGGUAAAGGCCUACCAAGGCGACGAUCUGUAGCGGGUCUGAGAGGAUGGUCCGCCACACUGGGACUGAGACACGGCCCAGACUCCUACGGGGGGCAGCAGUGGGGAAUAUUGGACAAUGGGGGGAACCCUGAUCCAGCCAUGCCGCGUGUGUGAAGAAGGCCUUAUGGUUGUAAAGCACUUUAAGCGAGGAGGAGGCUACUCUAGUUAAUACCUAGGGAUAGUGGACGUUACUCGCAGAAUAAGCACCGGCUGACUCUGUGCCAGCAGCCGCAGUAA
rnacentral:rRNA from 1 species